GGGGCUAAUUUUGUUCCUCCUGAAAUCUACAGCAAGGUUCCUGCUGCCUGCAGUGGUACCAGGUGUGGUUCGACUGGAGAAGAUGUGACCUUGGACAUCUAAUGAGAAAAGCCUAAGUAUACCAAAUUCACAAGCAACAUCAAAGCAUUUCAGUGAACUUUUCAUUCCAUUUUUAUGCCAACUCUCUUGUGAUGGAGUCAGACGUGUUGUGGUAGUCCUGCAAGAAGCAAAGAUGCCCAGUUUCUCUGCCACUGCUGCAGUUCUCCUUGCUAACACCUGUGGCAGCAGAUUGCAGCCAGGGAAGAGGCUGGGCGAGGAGCACGAGGCUGCAAGUUUGGAACCUGGAAGGCGCUGAAGGCCACCGUGAAUGUUAAUUAUGUCACUUCAUGCUUUUGCAGUGCUCCUUGUGCUUAAAGCACCACACAGACUGCUAGUGAUUAGUGAUCUGGCUGUUGCUGAAAUGAUCAGCGCUGUCAUUUAGGCUGUCAUUAGGACACAAUUAGCAGCCCUCUGAUCGGUGCUCUGCAGGCUAAUGGGGCUGCAGGGCUGUGGAGGACACUGCUGCCUCUCCUCGCCCUGUGCCCGCUGCGGCCCUGCAUGGAGCUGGGCUGAGGGCAGGGCAUAAAACACCCCUUGUGUCCUGCCCAUCGUGUCAGAACGUGGGGAUUUCUGAGAGCUAUUGGAAGUGUGCAUGCAGAUCUGACCAUCCACUGCUCCACCACUCUGUUUCAAAACAGGGGUUUUUUUGUUUGUUUGUUUUUCUGCUUGAUUUAUAGAGCACUUGGCUUUUUGCAGCAGCAGAAGCUACUGUGGCAAGGGUCUCAGGGGUGACGUUCUGGAAUCUAAGGGCAGUACGUGGUGAGACCAACAGCUAAGCCAUCUGCAUCCCUCGGUGGAAUGGAUGGCACUCAGGCAGGCUGCACUGACACAUUUGGGUAAGGGGAAGAAUUGAGCUACUGUAGCAGACUGAAAGCCAAAGUCUGGCUUGGAUGAUGUUCCUGAACCUAGCAUCCUUACUCCACACUUAGGUAGUGAAAUCUGUCACUCACGUGCUUCAGAUACUUGUGUUAAUUACAUAAAUUAUGUCAACAGAAAUGACAUGUUUUUAAAAUGUUAGAGUUGCUCUUCUGAAACGGUCCAAGUAUAUAUUUUUAGCUUCUACAACCUCUUCUGAUUACACCACUUGCAAAGGUAUCGUACUCCUUGUAGUAUCUAGCUAUAGUACUGUGUUAGUAGCUGCACUACCGCUGAUUCCCCUGCAUAAAGCACUGUACAAUAUACU
rnacentral:lncRNA from 7 species